rnacentral:tRNA from 1 species
CGUUAAGAAGCUAUGCAACAGCACUAGUCUUUUAAACUAGAAAAAGAGGAUACCCAUUCCUCCUUAAUGA